CUUCAACCUUUGUGAACCAUUCCUUCCCCACUCUUGGUCUACCUGGUGCAGAGGAGUCUGCAUCCAAUGAUUGCAGAGUGGAGGUAAUGAAGACCUGGCUCCCUUGCCUCAAGCCAAGACAACUUUGAACGGUUACCCCAGCCCCAGGCACCCUGUGGGAUCUACUGAAGCCUUUGUCACAACUGCACUGAGGUCUGAAUCCUCCUUCUGCCCAGUUCUAACUUCUUCACUCCCCCACAGAUGUUGAUCCCAAGGGCUUUUCAAUAAAAAUCCUCAAGCAA
rnacentral:lncRNA from 10 species